rnacentral:misc_RNA from 1 species
UUUCCGUAGGUGAACCUGCGGAAGGAUCAUUCAUAAUAAAGUGUUUUAUGGCACUUUUUAAAAAUCCAUAUCCACCUUGUGUGCAAUGUUAGAUCUCGUCAAUCUUGGCGAGAUUUUUAUACAUCAACUCAUUCUUUAACUAAUUUGUCUGAAAAAUAUUAUGAAUACUAAAUUCAAAAUACAACUUUCAACAACGGAUCUCUUGGCUCUC